UAUGCCAGUUUCCCCUGGCGGCUUCCCAGCCAGCCAGCCGCUCACCCUCCGUGAUGAUGUCAGCACUUGCUGCUUCAUCACACCUGGCUGAAGGAAUCAGAUGAGCUCCAUGGGAAGAGGCCCGAGGAAUGAGCACAGUCUUGACAGAGAACUUCAGCCAACAAGUCUUCAGGUGCUCCUUCCUAUAGCAGAUGGUCCAGUUCACAGCCACAUCAGAUUGUUUUGGCUAUUCUGUGAUGCUGGAAUUUCCAUAUGAAUUUUAGGAUCAGACUGUUAAUUUCUUCUGUAAAGAAGCCAGCUGGCAUUUGGAUAGGAAUUGUGUUGAUUCUGUAGAUCACUUUGGUAAGUAUUGCCAUUUUAACAAUAUUAAAUCUUCUGACCCAUGAGCAUGUAUGUUUUUCCAGUUAGUUAGUCUUUCUUUAAUUUCUUUGAACAGUGUUUUAUCAUUUUCAAAGU
rnacentral:lncRNA from 10 species